UUAAGUUAUUAAGGGCGCACGGUGGAUGCCUUGGCACUAGAAGCCGAUGAAGGACGUUACUAACGACGAUAUGCUUUGGGGAGCUGUAAGUAAGCUUUGAUCCAGAGAUUUCCGAAUGGGGAAACCCAGCAUGAGUUAUGUCAUGUUAUCGAUAUGUGAAUACAUAGCAUAUCAGAAGGCACACCCGGAGAACUGAAACAUCUUAGUACCCGGAGGAAGAAAAAGAAAAUUCGAUUCCCUUAGUAGCGGCGAGCGAAACGGGAAGAGCCCAAACCAACAAGCUUGCUUGUUGGGGUUGUAGGACACUCUAUACGGAGUUACAAAGGACGACAUUAGACGAAUCAUCUGGAAAGAUGAAUCAAAGAAGGUAAUAAUCCUGUAGUCGAAAAUGUUGUCUCUCUUGAGUGGAUCCUGAGUACGACGGAACACGUGAAAUUCCGUCGGAAUCUGGGAGGACCAUCUCCUAAGGCUAAAUACUCUCUAGUGACCGAUAGUGAACCAGUACCGUGAGGGAAAGGUGAAAAGCACCCCGGAAGGGGAGUGAAAUAGAACCUGAAACCGUGUGCUUACAAGUAGUCAGAGCCCGUUAAUGGGUGAUGGCGUGCCUUUUGUAGAAUGAACCGGCGAGUUACGAUUUGAUGCAAGGUUAAGCAGUAAAUGUGGAGCCGUAGCGAAAGCGAGUCUGAAUAGGGCGUUUAGUAUUUGGUCGUAGACCCGAAACCAGGUGAUCUACCCUUGGUCAGGUUGAAGUUCAGGUAACACUGAAUGGAGGACCGAACCGACUUACGUUGAAAAGUGAGCGGAUGAACUGAGGGUAGCGGAGAAAUUCCAAUCGAACCUGGAGAUAGCUGGUUCUCUCCGAAAUAGCUUUAGGGCUAGCCUCAAGUGAUGAUUAUUGGAGGUAGAGCACUGUUUGGACGAGGGGCCCCUCUCGGGUUACCGAAUUCAGACAAACUCCGAAUGCCAAUUAAUUUAACUUGGGAGUCAGAACAUGGGUGAUAAGGUCCGUGUUCGAAAGGGAAACAGCCCAGACCACCAGCUAAGGUCCCAAAAUAUAUGUUAAGUGGAAAAGGAUGUGGCGUUGCCCAGACAACUAGGAUGUUGGCUUAGAAGCAGCCAUCAUUUAAAGAGUGCGUAAUAGCUCACUAGUCGAGUGACACUGCGCCGAAAAUGUACCGGGGCUAAACAUAUUACCGAAGCUGUGGAUUGUCCUUUGGACAAUGGUAGGAGAGCGUUCUAAGGGCGUUGAAGCAUGAUCGUAAGGACAUGUGGAGCGCUUAGAAGUGAGAAUGCCGGUGUGAGUAGCGAAAGACGGGUGAGAAUCCCGUCCACCGAUUGACUAAGGUUUCCAGAGGAAGGCUCGUCCGCUCUGGGUUAGUCGGGUCCUAAGCUGAGGCCGACAGGCGUAGGCGAUGGAUAACAGGUUGAUAUUCCUGUACCACCUAUAAUCGUUUUAAUCGAUGGGGGGACGCAGUAGGAUAGGCGAAGCGUGCGAUUGGAUUGCACGUCUAAGCAGUAAGGCUGAGUAUUAGGCAAAUCCGGUACUCGUUAAGGCUGAGCUGUGAUGGGGAGAAGACAUUGAGUCUUCGAGUCGUUGAUUUCACACUGCCGAGAAAAGCCUCUAGAUAGAAAAUAGGUGCCCGUACCGCAAACCCACACAGGUAGUCAAGAUGAGAAUUCUAAGGUGAGCGAGCGAACUCUCGUUAAGGAACUCGGCAAAAUGACCCCGUAACUUCGGGAGAAGGGGUGCUCUUUAGGGUUAACGCCCAGAAGAGCCGCAGUGAAUAGGCCCAAGCGACUGUUUAUCAAAAACACAGGUCUCUGCUAAACCGUAAGGUGAUGUAUAGGGGCUGACGCCUGCCCGGUGCUGGAAGGUUAAGAGGAGUGGUUAGCUUCUGCGAAGCUACGAAUCGAAGCCCCAGUAAACGGCGGCCGUAACUAUAACGGUCCUAAGGUAGCGAAAUUCCUUGUCGGGUAAGUUCCGACCCGCACGAAAGGCGUAACGAUUUGGGCACUGUCUCAACGAGAGACUCGGUGAAAUCAUAGUACCUGUGAAGAUGCAGGUUACCCGCGACAGGACGGAAAGACCCCGUGGAGCUUUACUGUAGCCUGAUAUUGAAAUUCGGCACAGCUUGUACAGGAUAGGUAGGAGCCUUUGAAACGUGAGCGCUAGCUUACGUGGAGGCGCUGGUGGGAUACUACCCUAGCUGUGUUGGCUUUCUAACCCGCACCACUUAUCGUGGUGGGAGACAGUGUCAGGCGGGCAGUUUGACUGGGGCGGUCGCCUCCUAAAAGGUAACGGAGGCGCUCAAAGGUUCCCUCAGAAUGGUUGGAAAUCAUUCAUAGAGUGUAAAGGCAUAAGGGAGCUUGACUGCGAGACCUACAAGUCGAGCAGGGUCGAAAGACGGACUUAGUGAUCCGGUGGUUCCGCAUGGAAGGGCCAUCGCUCAACGGAUAAAAGCUACCCCGGGGAUAACAGGCUUAUCUCCCCCAAGAGUUCACAUCGACGGGGAGGUUUGGCACCUCGAUGUCGGCUCAUCGCAUCCUGGGGCUGUAGUCGGUCCCAAGGGUUGGGCUGUUCGCCCAUUAAAGCGGUACGCGAGCUGGGUUCAGAACGUCGUGAGACAGUUCGGUCCCUAUCCGUCGUGGGCGUAGGAAAUUUGAGAGGAGCUGUCCUUAGUACGAGAGGACCGGGAUGGACAUACCUCUGGUGUACCAGUUGUCGUGCCAACGGCAUAGCUGGGUAGCUAUGUGUGGACGGGAUAAGUGCUGAAAGCAUCUAAGCAUGAAGCCCCCCUCAAGAUGAGAUUUCCCAACUUCGGUUAUAAGAUCCCUCAAAGAUGAUGAGGUUAAUAGGUUCGAGGUGGAAGCAUGGUGACAUGUGGAGCUGACGAAUACUAAUCGAUCGAAGACUUAAUCAA
rnacentral:rRNA from 1 species